UUUUAGAAGUCUGUGGGAGAUUAUGGAUUCGUGCGACCAGCGGUCCGGGGUCCGUCCCCGCGCUUUUUGCCUUGUGAGGCUUCGGCCCUGCAUUGUAGACUCGCGGAUCCAGGAAUGAAGGAGGGUUGUUCGGGGGAGAACGUACUGGAACGUGAGAGGUGAAAUUCUUAGACCGUUCCAAGACGAACUACAGCGAAGGCAUUCUCCAAGGAUACCUUCCUCAAUCAAGAACCAAAGUGUGGAGAUCGAAGAU
rnacentral:rRNA from 1 species